UCACAGCUAUUUGGCAACACC
rnacentral:piRNA from 1 species